rnacentral:lncRNA from 10 species
CUCAUAUCUGCUUCUGCAUGAGUCUGUUGUGAUACGUUGUUUUGGUUGAAGUUUGUGGGGAAUAUUCAGCCGCUCACAGACAUGCUGUUGGAAAAGGAUGAGUAAUUCAAUACAGUCUUUAGAUAGUUGUGACUAUCCUUCUUUGAUACCACACCAAAACUGGAGAUGUUUAAAGAUUAGUUAUCAUGAUUAUUUAAAGAUUCUUUAAAAGAUGAGUUAUAAUCAAAGAUUGGUUAAAAUGUGGAUUAAAGGUUAGUUAUAAUGUGGAUUCGAGAUUAUAAUCUUUAAACUGAAAGGGUCUUGUACAUUUUCAUUUACUUUAUGUAUAUGAUGUGAAGUAGAGCUCCAACUUCGUUCUUCUGCAGGUGGCUCUCCGCUCUCCCAGCUGAAGAAAAGACUGUUCUUUCCCCACUUCACCCUCACAUUUGGGGGUCAAUUGAUUUUGAUGAGAGUGCCUUGGCUCUCAUCAAAAUCAACUGACCCCUAAAUGUGAGUUUCUUUCUGGAAUCUCAGUUCUAUUGUAUGGGUCUAUAUGUCUGUCUUUAUACAAGCACACACAGGUUUGACUACUGUAGCUUUGUAGUAAAUUUUGAAAUCAGAAAGUGUGAAUCCUCCAAUCUUUGCUCUUUUUCAAGAUUUUUUUUUGGCUGUCUGGGUUCCUUGAGUUUCUACAUGAAUUUUAAGAUCAGCUUAAUUCCUACAAAGAAGCCAGCUGAGACUCUGAUGGGGAUUGUCUUGAAUCAAUGUUCUUUUUGCUAUAACUUAUAGAGUAAAUUAAACAACUGAAGGAAGGUCCCUGUGAGCUGCAGUCCCGGGAGAAGAGGAAACCCUUCAACAUGGAUUCUGGAAAGAACAGCCUUGGCUUUCUUCUGAACAAAAAGUUCUGGCCCAGCUGGACCCGGGGUGGGCACCGGGAGUGCAGGCUGCUAGUCCUCUCCUGCCAGCUUUGCGAGGCGUGGGGAGCACCUGCAGCAUGGCUCACCUGAACCCAGUCCCCAGGCCCAUGGCCUCCGAGAGAUGAACACUGGCUGCCCAGAAGCAGGUGUGGGUAGGAGGGCAGAGGGACUGCCCGCAGGCGUCCCUGGGCUCCCUGGCUCCUUUCUGCUGAUGUGCCGCCUCAGUCGGACAGAGGUUUCAACACACUUGUACCCUUCUCAACACAGGCCAGGCGUCUCCGGGGCCUGGAAGAAAACCAAGGUCAGGGGAUCUCCUAGUUCAACAAGGGAGAACAACAUGUAAGGAAGAUAAAAAUUAAAGCCGUGUCGGAUGUGAGACACCCAGGGUCUCAUAUGACAAGACGCGAGUGGACUGCAGGCUGGGGCGGAGCUGUGGAGAGGGAAGACCCGGGGUGGGGCCGGGGAGAGGGGAGGCCGGGGCGGGGUGGGGGUGAGCAGUGGGAUCCAGGAAGGUUCUCAGAGGAGAAGAUGCCCACCCACACUGGGAUUACAAGGAAGAUAGGAAUUUGUCAGAGGGCAAGGGGACAGCGGGAGGGAGUGACCAAGGGGGUCAGCAGGGGCAAAGGCCAGGAGGUGGUCACAGUAUAGGUGUGUGUGGGGAUGGAAGGUGUCAGCACAGCUGAGGCUGGGGAAGGGACAGGCAGGGCAUCCCCGUCCUCGAGAGCCAGGCCAGAGCACUCGGGGACUGUCCUAUGGCCAGCAGGAACCUGAAGGGCUUAGGAACAUCCCCUGGCAGCCAGACACAGGAUGGAGGGGAGGGCGCGGGACGGUGAAACCCUCUUCUUCUGGAACUCAGCCCCUCUGUCUGGGAGACACAGGAAGGAACUGCCAGGGCUGUGGACUUGCACAGUCUUGCCUGAACUAUCUCAUCCCUGGCAGUUUUGUUUGUUUGUUUUUUGUUUGUGUUUUAAAGAUAGGGUCUUACUCUGCCACCUAGGCUGGAGUGUGGUGGCACAAUCAUGGUUCACCGCAGCCUUGGCCUCCCUGGCCCAGGUGAUCCUCUCACCUCAGCCUCCGGAGGACCUGGGUCCACAAGCACACACCAGCACACCCAGCUAAUUUUUAUUUUAUUUUAUUUUAUUUGUAGCGAUGGGGGUCUCACUAUCUUGCCCAGGCUGGUCUUAAACUCCUGGGCUCAAGUGAUCCUCCUCCCUCAGCCUCCCAAAGUGCACCUGAUAUUACAGGCAUGAGCAGCUGCGCCUAGACCCUGGCAGCCUUUUGAAAUGGAAUGUAUCUGUCACCAUCUUUGCAGAUUAGGAAGCCAAGGCUAAGAGAAAAGAGUGACUUCUUCAGGGUCACCCUGUCAUCCAUGUCGGUGGGGAAAACCCUGGACAGCCCCACGCUACCCUGAUUUCUUUCCCUCAUCUCUGUCCUCAGACUGGUCAGCAGGGCAUGCAAUGCCCACCAGAGGGCACCAAAGGCCAGAUUUGCCGUGCACUCCCACACCGUUUUGAGUCUCAGAUGCGGCCUCCAUUGAUUAGAGUCUCAGAUGCGGCCUCCACUGAUUGAGUCUCAGAUGCAGCCCCAUUGAUUGAGUCUCAGAUGCAGCCCCUAUUGGUUGAGAUCCCCAGGUGCAGCCUCCACUGAUUGAGAGCUUCACAUGCAGUCCCCAUUGAUUGAGAGUCUCAGAGGCAGCUCCCAUUGAUUAAGUUUCAGAUGCAGCCCCUGUUGAUUGACUCUCAGAUGCAGCCCCCAUAGACUGAGAGCCCCAGAGGCAGCCCCACUGAUAGAGAGUCUCAGAUGCAGCCCCCAUUGAUCGAGAGUCUCAGAUGCAGCCCCUAUUGAUUGAGUCUCAGAUGCAGCCCCUGUUGAUUGAAAGUCUCAGGUGCAGCCCCCAUUGACUGAGAGUCUCAGAGGCAGUCCCCACUGAUUCCCAGACACAACCCUCAAUGACUCUCAGAUGCAGCCCCUAUUGAUUGAAGUCUCAACUGCAGCCUCCAUUGAUUGGCAGUCUCAGAUGCAGCCCCAUAGACUGAGAGCCCCAGAGGAAGCCCCAUUGAGAGCUCCAGAGCAGCCCCCAUUGAUAGUCUCAGAUGCAGCCCCCAUUGAUAGAGAGUCUCAGAUGCAGCCCCCAUUGACUGAGAGGUUCACACGGAGCCCCCACUGAGUGACAGCUUCAGAUGCAGCCUCCAUUGAUUGAGAGAUUCAGAUGUGGCCCCCAUUGAUUGAAAACUUCAGAAUCAGCCUCCAUUGAUUGAGAGCCCCAGAUGCAGCCUCCAUUGAGAGCUUCACAUGCAGCCCCCAUUGCUUGAGUGUCUCAGAUGCACCCCCCACUGGUUGAGAGUCUCAGAUGCAUCCCCCAUUGAUUGAGAGCUUCACGUGUAGCCCCCAUUGCUUGAAAGUCUCAGAUGCAGCCCCUGUUGAUUGAAAGUCUAAGAUGCAGCCCCCAAUGACUGAAAGUCUCAGAGGCAGUCCGCACUGAUUCUCAGACACAACCCUGAAUUACUCUCAGAUGCAGCCCCUAUUGAUUGAAAUCUCAAAUGCAGCCCCCAUUGCUUGAGUGUCUCAGAUGCACCCCCAUUGAUUGAGAGCUUCACGUGCAGCCCCCAUUGCUUGAGAGUCUCAGAUGUACCCCCCGUUGCUUGAGAGUCCCGGAUGCACCCCUCAUUGAUUGAGAGCUUCACACGCAGCCUCCAUUGAUUGAGAGUCUCAGAGGCAGCUCCCAUUGAUUAAGUCUCAGACACAACCCCUAUUGAUUGACUCUCAGAUGCAGUCCUCAUUGACUGAGUCUCAGAUGCAGCCCCUAUUGACUGAGAGUCUUAGAUGCAGUCCUCAUUGAUUGAGAGUCUCAGAUGCAGGCCCUAUUGACUGAGUCUCAGAUGCAGCUCCUAUUGACUGAGAGCCUCAGAGGCAGCCCCAUUGAUUGAGAGCCCCAGAGCAGCCCCCACUGAUUGAGAGCUUCAGAUACAGCCCCCAGUGAUUGACAGCUUCACAUGCAGCCCCCAGUGAUUGACAGUUUCAGAUCCAGCCUCCAUUGCUUGAGAGCUUCAGAUGCAGCCCCCCAUGAUUGAGCUUCAUUCACAUGCAGCCCCCACUCUGGAUUCUCCGCUGAAGGGUCACCCUGGUAGAGCCUUAAGAGAAUUGAAGCUCAGGUCCAGGUGGCUCUGCGGCCCUCCUUCUGAGUCUGAGGUGACAGGGUAGGUGAGGUUGGCCACAGAAGGGAGUGCAUUAGGCCCAGAGGCUGUGACUAAGGAGGCUUUGGUGCUCCUUCUCUCCCUAGACUUUUGCGAAACUCUUCGAAGUCCUGGAGAGGCUCUGGAGUGUGGCUACUUGGAGCCCUGUGUCUGUGGGGAGCCGCUGCCUAGAUCUAAGCACGGUCUGGCUAGAGCUUCCCACUGGACAGUGGCUGGUCAGGGGGAGUUUGUUGGCUCCCACCCCGGCCCCCGGGCAGCACAUAUCAGCUGGCCUGGCUGGGCCUUGGGAGGACAGAGGAUGCUCAUUCCUCAGGACUAGAGGAGCCCUGUGGUGCCUCCCUCCCGCUCUAGCUGGGAGAUGGGCAGAGCUGGACUGCACCUGCUGCUGUCCCCACUGUGACCAGGCUUUUGGGGUGGACAAGAGGGCUCAUCCCCUCCAUACCCCUCCCUGGAGCCCCUCCCAGGUCCACGUUGUGGGACUGGGCUGUGACAGGACUCUGGCCAAAGAGAUGUGUGGAGACAUCACAGGAAAGGGGCUGGUGAAGUUGGGGGCUACCCAUGGGGUCCUAAGAAAGGCUGGUGCUUUCCUGCCUUGGGCUGCAGUCCCAGCAUGACAUGAGGUGUUGCUUCCUGCCAUGAACCAAAAGGCAAGAGGCUUGCCAGGGAGAGGCUUGGAGCCUGGAUUCUGUUUGGUCCACGGAGUUCACCAGUCUCAAGACCACCUGGUUAGUUCCUGGUGGUGAAAGCAUCCUGGAGAGGCAUGUUCUCACUCAGGGAGAUGGUUCAGGGGUGCAGGUGCCCCAACACCCUACCGCUCCCACGGACUCACUUUGCUGGUGGGGGCUUACCCCCUACAAGGCCAGCUGCAUAACCAGAGUGCUGCGGUGCCCACCCUGCUCCUGGUGAGUCAACAGAAUCCUGACAAUAUUGCCCAAGUCAUCUACAAAUCCAAAGUCAAAGUCUUCCCUAUCAAUAUACCACUCAGGUUCUUUGAUGAGCUCAGUAAAUACUCUAAAAAUGGAGGAAAGACUACAGCCACAAAUAGCUAAGCCAGCUGAAAACGCGGAAUCCCAGAUGUGAAGACACACUAGGAAGCGUCCUCGGAGGAGCAGCUUUUGGGAACAGGAGCAAGCCACCCGCAGAGUGGGGUGGGGCCGGAGCAGGGCGAGCAUUGUGAGAAUAUCACACGAUCCCACCAUGGGCAAGGAGUGAAUCUUUUUUUUUU